CAGAAAAUAGUUUAAGUAAAAAUGCUAGUUUUGGGGACUAGAGAUGGAUAGGCGUUCUUUUUUGA
rnacentral:tRNA from 1 species